AGCGAACGUUUGCGGCGGGCUUAACACAUGCAAGUCGAACGGGCUGUUCCUUCGGGGGCGAGUCAGUGGCGCACGGGUGGCGUAACACGUAGGUAAUCAACCCUCUGGUUGGGGAGUAACACUUCGAAAGGAGUGCUAAUACCCGGUAUGGCGCAGCGGUCUUCGGAUCGCGGCGAGAAAGACCCGCAAGGGUUGCCAGAGGACGAGCCUGCGGCCCAUCAGCUAGUUGGCGAGGUAACGGCUCACCAAGGCGAAGACGGGUAGCUGGUCUGAGAGGAUGAUCAGCCACACUGGAACUGAGACACGGUCCAGACUCCUACGGGAGGCAGCAGUGGGGAAUAUUGCGCAAUGGGCGAAAGCCUGACGCAG
rnacentral:rRNA from 1 species